ACUUGGGUCAGCCGCUACUCUGCUUCUCUUCUCGUAGAUUUUCUUCCUUUCUUCUUCAGCGCCGAUAACUUAAAGCUAAAAACCUCCACCGCCAUCUCUUGAAAUUCAUCGAUCGUUUCCUAAUCAUGAUUUCUGAUAGUCAUCUAUCCUUCAAUCUCUAGCCUCCACCACAGCAACACCACCAGUUUCUUCAAAUUUCAAGACAAUCAAGUAAUUAACACGCGGGUGAACUGAAGCUAAAUCUGGACAAUGGAAGGUACUGAUUCACAAUCCACACCAACAAAUGAAGGAUCGGCAUCAAAGUCAAGUUCUGAAAAUUAUAGACAAAAAACUGAUAUGACUUGGAGACAUGUUAUAGAAGGACAAGAUUCGCAAGGUAGAAAAAUUUUGAUAUGUCAAUAGUGCAAUGGUACUUUUAGAGGGGGAGGUAUUAAUCGAAUGAAACAUCAUCUUGCAAAAGUUAAGGGUAAUGUUGCUCCAUGCAAAAUGUGCCAAAUGAUGUUCAACAGAUAAUGGAAGAUUCAUUGAAUGAAAAUGUUCAAAAAGCAAAAGAGAAAAAAAGAAUAUUUGAAAUUGGAAAUCCAUUUGGCCGAAGUGUAGUAGGAUUUGAAGCUGAUGAUGUUCAAGAAAUUCUUUAACGAAAAAUAAAGGCAACUCAAACUAAUGUGAGUGGGAAUAAGGGGAAAAAAAACACAUGGCAUUGAAUCUUAUAUGGCAGGUAAAUCUCUUGAUCAUUCUCAACCGAGUAUCAAGUCUUGUAUGCAAAGUAAAGAGAGAUGGCAUGAUACUGACAUGGCUAUAGCUUUGUGAUUUUAUGAUGCAUGUAUUCCAAUAAAUGCUUGUAAUUCUCCCUAUUACCAACAAGUCUUUUUUCCA